rnacentral:rRNA from 1 species
AUUGAACGCUGGCGGCAUGCUUUACACAUGCAAGUCGAACGGUAACAGGCCGCAAGGUGCUGACGAGUGGCGAACGGGUGAGUAAUGUAUCGGAACGUGCCCAGUCGUGGGGGAUAACGUAGCGAAAGCUACGCUAAUACCGCAUACGAUCUAUGGAUGAAAGCGGGGGAUCGCAAGACCUCGCGCGAUUGGAGCGGCCGAUAUCAGAUUAGGUAGUUGGUGAGGUAAAGGCUCACCAAGCCGACGAUCUGUAGCUGGUCUGAGAGGACGACCAGCCACACUGGGACUGAGACACGGCCCAGACUCCUACGGGAGGCAGCAGUGGGGAAUUUUGGACAAUGGGCGCAAGCCUGAUCCAGCAAUGCCGCGUGCAGGAUGAAGGCCUUCGGGUUGUAAACUGCUUUUGUACGGAACGAAAAGGUUUGUCUUAAUACGAUGAGCUCAUGACGGUACCGUAAGAAUAAGCACCGGCUAACUACGUG